AUUGAACGCUGGCGGCAGGCCUAACACAUGCAAGUCGAACGAGUGGCGGACGGGUGAGUAAUGUCUGGGAAACUGCCUGAUGGAGGGGGAUAACUACUGGAAACGGUAGCUAAUACCGCAUACCAUCAGAUGUGCCCAGGUGGGUUUAGCUAGUUGGUGGGGUAACGGCUAACCAAGGCGACGAUCCCUAGCUGGUCUGAGAGGAUGACCAGCCAAACUGGAACUGAGACACGGUCCAGACCUCUACGGGAGGCAGCAGUGGGGAAUAUUGAGAAAGGGGGGAAAGCCUGAUGCAGCCAUGCCGCGUGUAUGAAGAAGGCUUUCGGGUUGUAAAGUACUUUCAGCGGGGAGGCGUUACCCGAAGAAGAAGCACCGGCUAACUCCGUGCCAGCAGCCGCGGUAAUAC
rnacentral:rRNA from 1 species